AAUUGACUGGUGGGAUGACGUCAAGUCCUCAAAGUCGCCCUUACGGGCUGGGCUACACACGUGCUACAAUGGCGGUGACAAUGGGAAGCUAAGGGGUGACCCUUCGCAAAUCUCAAAAAGCCGUAAUGCCGUAGUUCGGAUUGGGCUCUGCAACUCGAGCCCAUGAAGUUGGAAUCAUGCUAGUAAUCGUGGAUCAGCAAGUCAGGCGUCAAAUCCCGGUGCUUUCGACACACCGCCG
rnacentral:rRNA from 1 species